rnacentral:rRNA from 1 species
GAUGAACGCUAGCGGCAGGCUUAACACAUGCAAGUCGAGGGGUAUAGUUCUUCGGAAUUAGAGACCGGCGCACGGGUGCGUAACGCGUAUGCAAUCUACCUUUCACAGAGGGAUAGCCCCAGAGAAAUUUGGAUUAAUACCUCAUAGUAUAGCAGUUUCGCAUGAAACCACUAUUAAAGUCACAACGGUGAAAGAUGAGCAUGCGUCCCAUUAGCUAGUUGGUAAGGUAACGGCUUACCAAGGCAACGAUGGGUAGGGGUCCUGAGAGGGAGAUCCCCCACACUGGUACUGAGACACGGACCAGACUCCUACGGGAGGCAGCAGUGAGGAAUAUUGGACAAUGGGCGCAAGCCC